GGGAAAUUCUCCGGUGCGGUGGCUUUCAUGUUUCAAAACUUCUCCGUUAAAUUUUACCACUUUUUCGCGAAUAAAGACAACUUUUAGCUGACAGCCUGGCCAGAGAUGUUUUUCUCAAAAAUGGAUAGUGACAAGUACUGAGCUAUGGAUCCAUUCAAUUUACCUCACCCCCAUCCCUAUGUGCUAGCAAGACCAAGCAAGAUCUAGAGCAUAUCGAGACCCCGUCACCAGAUAUAUUUCUCCUUGUGCAGUGAAAAGUGCUGAGCUAUGGAUUCACUUCACCUCAACGCCAUCCGCAAUUUCUCGGAUGGAUCAAUUCAUAUUUUGAACUUAUAGAGGCCAUGAUAUAGACCAUGAUCUAUGUAUAGUUGACCAGAGGGACGCGUUAUGACGUUACAGAGCGGGAGCCACAAGAUUGGGGCGAGAGACGGUUAGGUAACCAAGGACAGCAUCAAAGGGAGACAUAAGAACGACA